UACGUAGGGUGCGAGCGUUGUCCGGAAUUAUUGGGCGUAAAGGGCUCGUAGGCGGUUUGUCGCGUCGGGAGUGAAAUCCACUGGCUUAACUGGUGGCUUGCUUUCGAUACGGGCAGACUGGAGGUAUGCAGGGGAGAACGGAAUUCCUGGUGUAGCGGUGAAAUGCGCAGAUAUCAGGAGGAACACCGGUGCGAAGGCGGUCCCUGCUGGGCAUGU
rnacentral:rRNA from 1 species